UCAAGUGCAUAUUGUGCCUUAGGGCUGCAUUGACUCGCGUUUAACUUGUAGUCUCGUUGAGGAGAUAGAUCGGAAGAUAAAGAGCGUUUUUCGUUACGGAAUCAAAUAAAGAUCUAAGAGUGUUCAAAGCUAGCGUUAUUAUUUUUAACAUCCAUCAGGUUAUGGGCUCAUCCCACCCUUAACCUGCGCAAUAGAAAAUAGUGUUAAAAGUGAAAGAAUAGGACAAAAGAGUGUGAAGCCACGAGAGGACGAUGGCCGGUCAGGACGAAGAGAGGAAAAGAGAGGAAAACAAGGGAGAUGAUAAUAAAGACAAGGACGUUGCUGAUAAAGUUUUGAACGACCUCUGCACUGCUCUUCAAGAGUGGCUUGACGAGAGUGAAAUCUUGGGAGCGUCAGCAUUUCUGCCAACAGAGCCAUCAGAGGGCGCUCCAUCAGAAAGUCUACAGUUAAGUGAAAAGGAUAAGAAUCAGAGGGACGAAGAAGGCGAUAAAGAGAGCAAGAGGCAACAGAUCAAGAAGGAAGAGAGUGAAGAUGAGAUAAUCACGAUGAAGAAGAGCGAAUAUACGGCACUGAUGCGGGGGCUAAAUAAAGUUCAAGAGAGAUUUGCAAAACAAGACCGAGUCAUUCUUGAACUGGCAAACAGUAUCAAGGCUUGGUGUUUAAACUCUGCCCAGUCGAUGGAUACUACCACUAAAUUCCUCACUGACAUGAACGAAAAACUCAUCAAUAUGGAGAGCUGGAAACAGGAACUGGAUAGAGUUUCAAGAAUUGUUGAUGGGGCCCUGUCUGAAGAUGAGUACAAUGAGAGUGAUGAUAGUCAUACGAGACAGGGUCUCUUGGUACAGGAAGAGGAAUCGACAAGGCAAUCACAGAGUGGCGAUGUCGGACACAGAAAUGCCAACUUGACGGAAAGAGGCCAGAUUCGAUGCUUCGAGUGUGGAGACACGGGGCAUCUUGGAAACAUUUGUCCAAAUAGAGGAAUGGGUCCAAAGUGUUACCAUUGUAACAGGUUUGGACACGAAGCCUUUGACUGUCCAGACUUUGAAGAGAGAUCCAGAACGCCUAACAAUACUCAUAAGACAGGGUACUCUCAUUCAUCUAAAUCAGCAUGGGAGUCUUGUGGGAAAGAUGGGCUAAGAAAAUUCCCAAAACGUAAGAACAAUGCCAAACAUAAGCAUGCUGAAGACGCGAAAAGAGGGAGAUAUGAAGGAAAAAGGCUCGGUGACGAUAAGAGAAGCGACAGAAAUAAGGCGAGAUAUCAGAAUCCGGCGAAAUUCGGCCAAGAAGUACUCAAACAAAGGUAAGAUGGAUCAUAAUAAAAUUAAUAGGAAGCAAGGUUAGUUAGCUCAGGAAAAAGAAGAGGUUCAAGGAGGGACAAUGCACACAAACACAACUGAUUGUGGAAACGGAAUAAUUAUCAAGUUCAGAGCAAAUUUAAUGGAGAGGUGAGGGUGACAUGGAAAUAGUACUAAAUUAUGGGAAUACUGUACAAAUCAAGAAUGUAGUAUUCACGGAGUUCCUUAAAGAACAUCUAUUGUCAUUGAGUAAAUUAGCGGAAAUGGGGUUAGGAAUCUACUUAGUGAGAAAAUAGAUAUUGUAAAUAAAGAGGCGAAUAAAUCCUUUUUAAAGAGAGUGUACAAAAGGUCGUAUUGGAUGAUCAAUUUGCAAAUUAAUAAUAGAAGUAAUGGGAGAUCAGAUUAUAUAGUAGCUAAGAGAGUGAUUGCUAAUCUUGCUGAAGGCGAGACUCAAUCAAAAAGUUAUUGUACGAGAAUGACAACUAGGAAUUUAAUAGUUCCUGAUAACAAAAACGAUGAAACCCAAGAUGAAACACUGAAGACAGAUAAUGAGGGAAAGAAUGAACUAUCAAACAAGAGUGUUGAAGUGGAAAUAUCUGAAGAAAAUCCUCAAGAUGAGAAUGGUACUACGAUCAGAAAAAUAGCAUAUGAAUAGUCGCAUUUUGACGUUAUUAUUUGGGGUCGCAAAACCCAGUCUAGACCAGCUACCCUACAUAGAGACAAGUCAAAAUGUGUCACCGUUCUCUGCUGAAAUAAGCGUUUUAAAAGAAAUAACAGGGCAAUGUUAGACUUGAAGGCAUUUCGAGUCAAAUAAAACACAAAAUAAAAAGACAGUGACGAAAGAUAACUCAACAACACAUAUAAGACUCAAGUUUUAAGGAUCUGCCUAUCACUAAUAUUUUAAAGGAAAUAGAUUCAAAUGAUGAGACAGUUGUCCCAGAUGAUACGAAGAUUAGCUUUGCGUAUCGUAACCCAAUAGGACGCCCGUUAUAUCUGGCUGGUGCAACCAGACCAGACAUAUGCUAUAACUCUCCUGUGUAGGCAUCAGGUCAACCCUACAAUUGAAGACUCGGGAAUGAUAAAUAAAGAGAGUAUUUAGAUAUCUGAGAGGUACCAUAAAUCUGAAGCUUAUAUACACUGGUGAAUCUGGAGGAAUUGAGAAUUUUACAGUUGCGAGUUUUGCUGAUUGCAAGGACUCGCUCACCACGUGUGGAUCUUUAAAGAUUUGUAAAGCUAUACGGUGAUACUAUUAUGCGGAAGACAAAAACAAAAUUAACUAGCAUUAUCCACGUGUAAGGCUGAGUAUAUGACAAUGAGCAUUGCCAGUGAAAAGAUGCUUUCAAUCUAUAAUUCGAUUAGAUUGAUAGUGAUAAAUCCUACUUUGCCGAUGAAAUUAUGGUGCGAUAAUGAAAUGGCUACGAUGAGUGUUUAAACUAAUGAAGGGAGUAAAUUGAGACACGCAAUUGAAGCUAAAACGCAAAAGCUCAUCAUAUUAAAGAGUGUGUAAAGAGGGAUCUAGUAGUGAUACAAUGGGUCAAAUGAAAAGAUCAGUAUGCAGGAGAUAAAUAGAUGAAGCAUUUUCCCGAAGAAAUCGGAAAAGAUACUGGGAUACUGAGAGAGGAUGUCAUUUCAGUGAUUAGGAUGAUAAUCAGCCAGUACUAUUUUUUUCUACAUUUAUAAAUAAUUUAAUACCUAAAUCCUGUAUUGCUUGUUUCUUGAAUUUAAAUAAGAUUUAUUUGGAAACAAGGAUGAUGUGGGGUGGUAGCGUUGGAUUAUUCGUGGGAUGGCGCCAUCUCCUGGUCGCAAUACGUCGAUACUUCUAUACGGGCUUUUCCUCCGGUAUGUGCCUGCACUGACUCACGUCUUACUUAUAAGGUGACUCCUUGAGAAUAUAGAUCGGAAGAUGAGCGUUUUUCGUUACUGUAUUAAAUAAAGAUCUAAGAAUACAUUCAAA